rnacentral:siRNA from 1 species
AAGCUGACUGGUUCAAUUCCACCU